rnacentral:rRNA from 1 species
UGAGGAAUAUUGGGCAAUGCCCGCAAGGGUGACCCAGCAACGCCGCGUGGAGGAUGAAUGUCGUAAGAUUGUAAACUCCUGUUAGAGGGGAAGAAUAGUACCGGUUGGACCGGUAUAUGACUGUACCCUCAGAGAAAGCCCCGGCUAACUACGUGCCAGCAGCCGCGGUAAUACGUAGGGGGCAAGCGUUGUCCGGAUUUACUGGGUGUAAAGGGCGCGCAGGCGGGAUAAAAAGUCAGUGGUGAAAUCCUACAGCUUAACUGUAGAACUGCCUUUGAUACUUUUAUUCUUGAGUUCGGGAGAGAGAGACGGAAUUCCAGGUGUAGUGGUGAAAUACGUAGAUAUCUGGAAGAACACCGGUUGCGAAGGCGGUCUCUUGGUCCGACACUGACGCUGAGGCGCGAAAGCGUGGGGA